rnacentral:rRNA from 1 species
AACGAACGCUGGCGGCAUGCCUAACACAUGCAAGUCGAACGAGACCUUCGGGUCUAGUGGCGCACGGGUGCGUAACGCGUGGGAACCUGCCCUUAGGUUCGGAAUAACUCCCCGAAAGGGGUGCUAAUACCGGAUAAUGUCUUCGGACCAAAGAUUUAUCGCCUUUGGAUGGGCCCGCGUUGGAUUAGCUAGUUGGCAGGGUAAAAGCCUACCAAGGCGACGAUCCAUAGCUGGUCUGAGAGGAUGAUCAGCCACACUGGGACUGAGACACGGCCCAGACUCCUACGGGAGGCAGCAGUGGGGAAUAUUGGACAAUGGGCGAAAGCCUGAUCCAGCAAUGCCGCGUGAGUGAUGAAGGCCUUAGGGUUGUAAAGCUCUUUUACCCGGGAUGAUAAUGACAGUACUGGGAGAAUAAGCUCCGGCUAACUCCGUG